AGCGGACCGUUGGUUUCCGAUUUCUCCAUUUAGUUUUCAACUCUGGUAAUGGAUCUGCCUGGGAAAGUGAGUAAAGUUUUAGAUGUUUUCAAAUCUGCA